UCAGACGAUGCGUCAUGCAUAUCAAUAAGCGGAGGAAAAGAAACUAACAAGGAUUCCCUCAGUAACGGCGAGUGAAGCGGGAAGAGCUCAAAUUUGAAAUCUUGAAAGGUCACCUUUCACGAAUUGUAGUUUAAAGAAGUGUUUUCUGUUACGAUCGUAAUAUAAGUUCUUUGGAAUAGGACAUCACAGAGGGUGAGAAUCCCGUCUAUGAUUGCGAUUUGUAGCUUUGUGAUACACUUUCAAAGAGUCGGGUUGUUUGGGAAUGCAGCCCAAAACGGGAGGUAAAUUUCUUCUAAGGCUAAAUAUUGGCGAGAGACCGAUAGCGAACAAGUACCGUGAGGGAAAGAUGAAAAGAACUUUGAAAAGAGAGUUAAAUAGUACGUGAAAUUGUCAAAAGGGAAGCGUUUAACACCAGUGUUGUUUUCUGAAAAUCAACCUCUGUUAGCUUUAUGCAUGUUUGUUUAGACCUAAUCAGCUAUCUUGCAUGUUCUAUUGUUUGCAGUGGUGCACUUUUCAGUUUACAGGUCAACAUCAGUUUUUUUUACCGUAAAAAAGUUAAAGAAAGGUAGCUCAUGGCUCCGGUCGUGAGUGUUAUAGUCUUUUUCCUAUGCGGUAGGAGAGACUGAGGUCUGCAGUGUAGGCUAUUUGGCUAGAUACUCAGGUGCUAUGUGAUACCAUUUCAUAAACAACUUGUUGAUUAUGUUUUGUCUAUUGCAUACUCGCUUGUACUAUCAUACCUACGCUUAGGAUGUUGAAGACUCUACAGAGAUA
rnacentral:rRNA from 1 species